GAUGAAGAACGCAGCGAAAUGCGAUAAGUAAUGUGAAUUGCAGAAUUCAGUGAAUCAUCGAAUCUUUGAACGCACCUUGCGCCCUUUGGCUAUUCCGAAGGGCAUGCCUGUUUGAGUAUCAUGAACACCUCAACUCUCAUGGUUUGCCAUGAUGAGCUUGGACUCUGGGGGUCUUGCUGGCCUAUGGUCAGCUCCUCUCAAAUAAAUCAGCUUGCCAGUGUUUGGUGGCAUCACAGGUGUGAUAACUAUCUACGCUUGUGGUUUUCCAUCAGGUAACCUUCAGUCAUGGAGGUUCGCUGGAGCUCAUAAAUGUCCCUCCUCAGCGAGGACAGCUUUUUGAACAUUUGAUCUCAAAUCAGGUAGGACUACCCGCUGAACUUAAGCAUAUCAAUAAGCGGAGGA
rnacentral:misc_RNA from 1 species